GGGGUAUUUAACUAUAAAUUGAACAAUUAGAAGAAAACUUACAGGAACGAUAGGUUGAAGAGGACCAGGUCAGGAGGUGGUCACUUGCAAGUAGGGAUCAUUGAGGAGAUAUAAGAGGGGCUAGAAUUGUUCAAUGCUUUAAAUGUAUGGGUUAGCACUUUGAAUUGACUCCUAUAGGAUACAGGGAGCCAAUGUAAGGACUGGCAAAUGGGUGAUGUGUGAGGACCGACUAGAGAGGAAAAUCAGUCUAGCCGCAGCAUUCAUUACAAACUGUAGCGGGGCAAUACAGCUUUUUGGGAGAUCAAUCAGGAGAGGGUUACAGUAAUCCAUGCAGGAAAUUACUAGAGCAUGGACAAGCUCUUUGGUCGCAUCUUGUGUAAGAAAGGGGCGGAUGCGGGCUAUGUUUUUGAGUUGGAACCUACAGGAUUUGGCAACAAACUGGAUGUGUGGCCAGAGUCGAGUAUGACGCCAAGACAGCGUGCUUUCAAGGAUGGACUUAUGUGGAUAUCACUGACUUGAAGGGAGAGCGAGAGAGGAGGAAAGACAAGGAGUUCAGUUUUAGAGAGAUUGAGUUUCAGAAAGCGUAAGGACAUCCAGUCAGAGAUGGAAGAAAGGCAAGCAGUGACAAGUUGCAGGACGGCAGGGGAGAGGUCCGGGGAGGAGAGGUAUAUUUGAGUGUCAUCAGCGUACAGGUGGUAGUUGAAUCCAAGAGAGGCAGUAUAAAAAGAAAAUAGAAGGGGACCAAGGACAGAGCCUUGGGGAACUCCAACCGAGACAGGACGAGGGGGAGGAGGUAUGCUUGGGAAAGGAGACACUGAAUGAGCGUUGGGAGAGAGAGGAGGAAAACCAAGAGAGGACAGAGUCACAGAGACCGAGCGAUUGAAGAGUUUGAAGGAGGGGAGCAUGAUCAACAGUGUCAAAGGCAGCAGAGGUCAAGAAUUAAUAUGGAGUAGUGACCUUUGGAUUUAGCUGCGAUUAGGUCAUUAGUGACUUUGAUGAGAGCAGUCUCAGUAGAGUGGAGAGGGCGGAAGCCAGACUGAAGAGGGUCAAAGAGAGAGUUGGAAUUGAGGUAGCGAGACAUGGGUAAAGACAAGUCUUUCCAAAAGCUUUGAUGAGAAAGGGAGCAUGGAUAUUGGACGAUAGUUAGAGGGGAAGGAUGGGUCAAGAGAUGUUUUUUUUUCAGGAUAGGUACCACAGUGGCAUGUUUAAGGUCAGCAGGAACAGUGCCAGAAGAGAGAGAGAGCAGUUAAAGAUGUGUGUUAGGGUAGACCCAAGACAAGGGG